UUACCGAUGGUUACCGAUGCAAAUACAGACAUGGUUACUGACAGUAACAGAUGCGUUACCGAUGGUUACCGAUGCAAAUACAGACAUGGUUACUGACAGUAACAGAUGCAUUACCGAUGGUUACCGAUGCAAAUACAGACAUGGUUACUGACAGUAACAGAUGCGUUACCGAUGGUUACCGAUGCAAAUACAGACAUGGUUACUGACAGUAACAGAUGCGUUACCGAUGCAAAUACAGACAUGGUUACUGACAGUAACAGAUGCGUUACCGAUGGUUACAGAUGCGAUUAUCAACACAUUUGAUUCCAUUGGUAACAGUUGCCGGUUACCAAUGGUUACAGAGAUAAAGUCAUUGUCAUGGCAGCCUGACUCACCCACUCAAUCUAUCAAUACCCACAAGGUGCUCUUUUCAACUCUAUCUUCUUUAUGAAGGCCUCCCUCUUUCUCCCUCCCUCAUGCCCUCUCUCUUCUCUUUGUCAAACGUCUCCCUCUCUCCCUCUACCUUUUCAUCUCCCACUGACUGAGUUUCUUUCUUCCUUUGUAGUGUGUGUUUUUACAGUAUACAGUAGGUAUGUGUGUGUGCACCAUGCGUGUGUGUGUGAGCGUUGAUUUAUCUGCAAGGGAGGUGUGCAUGUGUGUGCGUUUAUGUCAGUGUGCUUCGUGUGUGUGUGUAUGUAUGUAUGUGUGUUUGUGUGUAUAUGUGUAUGCGCGUGCGUGUCUUUGAGCGCAGGUUAAAGGAUGAGGUCAUCAAACCCCACCACGAGAGGCGCUUGCUGGAAUGUUUAGUCUGUUGUCACAGUUUCAGGAAGGUUGCCGUGGUAAUUAAAACAAAACUUUUCCUGAGCAAUAAAGUGUGUGUUUGUCUGAGGAAUUGUGUUCCAGGGAAGUUGUGUGAAGUGCAAAGUGAGAUAAUUAUGAUGUCACUCAUUGAGUGAAACCUCUCCUUCUCUCACUCCCUCCUCCUCCUCCCCCUCUUUCUUUCUCUCUCUAUCCCUCCCUUACUCUCACUGACUAAACCUCUUUAAUGAUCUGGCAGUGUCUGACAAUCUGAAAAGUUUCCUGAAAGCACCCACACAUUUCUCUCACACAUUUCUCUGUGAGAGCUGAAGCUAAUUUUACCCCUGCUGUCCUAUAUAAACACAACAAGGUAAUGUUAGCUACCACUAACCCACACAGCUUAACCACUGCCGAGGGUUGCAAAGGGAAGGUAUAUUACUGGAAACAUUCCAAGUUUACCAGUAAAAUACCAGAAUUGUGGUAUCUUUCAAGAACUUUAUGUAAUCUAUCACAAGACAUCUCUGUGUCUCUGUGGAUGGUUUGUCCUCUGACAAAUCAACUGUACAUUUCGGAGUUCCUCAAGGUUCCGUUUUAGGGCCACUAUUGUUUUCACUAUAUAUUUUACCUCUUGGUGAUGUCAUUCGGAAACAUAAUGUUAACUUUCAAUGCUAUGCA
rnacentral:lncRNA from 13 species